UUGAAGGUUAUAGUAAAUGGAAAAAUGCAUCUGGAAAGCUGAGAGAAUUAGAGGUCAUGGCUCGAUGUAAAAUCACCAUGGAAACAGCUUUCAUGGCCAAUUUGUGGGGAGAUGUCAAAAGGCAGUAACCUGUGACUUAUUUUUUUCCAAAGCCCUUUCUAUGAAGGUUACAGGUUCUAUAUCUGCUUUCAUGAUGACAUUUGUCUAUGUUUUUGUAGGAUUCUAUUCUGACAAGCACAAAACCCUGCACCAAGUUGAACCUGUCCUUUGUGAUGAGGCUGUUGAACAGAAGAGCAGCAUAGCAGUCUGUCUAUUCUUGCUCCACAUUCAGCUAAAUGCCAACUCCGAUCCCUUUGAGAUGGUGAACAGGCAGAACCCAGGGAUCGUGUCAUCCCUCAGUAUCCAGACUUCUUCAGAGAACCAUGUGGUGAAACUUCUUGAUUAAGGUCGUGAAAGGAGAGACAACUAUACAUUUUGUGACACUGAAGACAAAUGUACAAGAGUACUACUGAAGAAGUUCAG